UCACUGCUAUCGGUGUUCGAUUAAGCCAUGCGAGUCGUGAGGGGUAAAGCCCUCGGCGGAGUGCUCGUGACACGUGGGCAACCUACCCAAAAGUCAGGGAUAACCCCGGGAACUGGGAGUAAUACCUGAUAGGCCAUGACAUCUGGAAUGAGUUGUGGUUUAAACGUAAGGCUUUUGGUAUGGGUCGCGGCGGGUUAGGUUGUUGCGGUGUAACGUACCGCAAGCCUGUAAUCCGUACGGGUUGUGGGAGCAAGAGCCCGGAGAGGAUUCUGAGCACGAGUCCAGGCCCUACGGGCGGCAGCAGGCGCGAU
rnacentral:rRNA from 1 species